GCCUUCGUAGCUCAGUCUGGACAGAGUGCUGGCUUUCGAAGCCAAGUGCCGCACGUUCGAAUCGUGCCGAGGGCG
rnacentral:tRNA from 1 species